GAUGAACGCUGGCGGCGUGCCUAAUACAUGCAAGUCGAGCGAACGGACGAGAAGCUUGCUUUUCUGAUGUUAGCGGCGGACGGGUGAGUAACACGUGGAUAACCUACCUAUAAGACUGGGAUAACUUCGGGAAACCGGAGCUAAUAUCGGAUAAUAUUUUGAACCGCAUGGUUCAAAAGUGAAAGACGGUCUUUCUGUCACUUAUAGAUGGAUCCGCGCUGCAUUAGCUAGUUGGUAAGGUAACGGCUUACCAAGGCAACGAUGCAUAGCCGACCUGAGAGGGUGAUCGGCCACACGGGAACUGAGACACGGUCCAGACUCCUACGGGAGGCAGCAGUAGGGAAUCUUACGCAAUGGGCGAAAGCCUGACAGAGCAACGCCGCGUGAGUGAUGAAGGUCUUCGGAUCGUAAAACUCUGUUAUUAGGGAAGAACAUAUGUGUAAGUAACUGUGCACAUCUUGACGGUACCGAAUCAGAAAGCCACGGCUAACUACGUG
rnacentral:rRNA from 1 species